GUCAGGAUGGCCGAGUGGUCUAAGGCGCCAGACUCAAGAACCGAGGCUCUUCGCCGACAUGAGGUGUUGAGUAUUCUGGUCUCCGAAUGGAGGCGUGGGUUCGAAUCCCACUUCUGACA
rnacentral:tRNA from 1 species